rnacentral:rRNA from 1 species
UACGUAGGGUGCAAGCGUUGUCCGGAAUUAUUGGGCGUAAAGAGCUCGUAGGCGGCUUGUCACGUCGACUGUGAAAACCCGGGGCUCAACUCCGGGCCUGCAGUCGAUACGGGCUGGCUUGAGUGCGGUAGGGGAGACUGGAAUUCCUGGUGUAGCGGUGAAAUGCGCAGAUAUCAGGAGGAACACCGGUGGCGAAGGCGGGUCUCUGAGCCGUAACUGACGCUGAGGAGCGAAAGCGUGGGGAGCGAACAGG